rnacentral:lncRNA from 1 species
ACUUAGUUCCUUUUUUUCCAAGACAGUUGAUUGCAAUCAUAUUAUCUGCUUAAAAGUUUUCAGUGGGAAAAUUGAGCAAUUUUCAAUGUGGAUUGAAAAGAAAUUCUGAUUGGAAGAUUCUUCUUAUUCUUUUCCCUGUAGUACAAUGGAUGAUAUGUGUAAAAACAAAGAAAAAGAAAAGGAUGGAGAUUAAAGCAUCGUAUGGGGAUAAAGAAGGAGGUGAGCAUCUUGUUGUUGAAGAUGGCUCCCUUGAUAAGAUGCCCUGUGGAAGAUGGAGUAGACCUUGGAAUUUGGUUAGGUCGAUAGAGACUAAUUUCCUUGGAUGAUUCUGAUUGGAAGAUUCUUCUUAUUCUUUUCUCUGCAGUAGAAUGGAUGAUAUGUAAAAAGAAAGAAAGAAAAGGAUGGAGUUUAAACCAUCAUAUAGUGGUAAAGGAGGAGGGGAGCAUCUUGUGGUUGAAGAUGGCUCCCUUGAUAAGGUGCCCAGUGNNNNNNNNNNNNNNNNNNNNUAAAGUAAAAGAAAGAAGAAAAGGAUGGAGUUUAACCAUCAUAGUAGUAGGUAAAGGAGGAGGGGAGCAUCUUGUGGUUGAAGAUGGCUCCCUUGAUAAGGUGCCCAGUGGAAGAUGGAGGG